rnacentral:rRNA from 1 species
GACGAACGCUGGCGGCGUGCUUAACACAUGCAAGUCGAACGGAAAGGCCUGCUUUUGUGGGGUGCUCGAGUGGCGAACGGGUGAGUAACACGUGAGUAACCUGCCCUUGACUUUGGGAUAACUUCAGGAAACUGGGGCUAAUACCGGAUAGGAGCUCCUGCUGCAUGGUGGGGGUUGGAAAGCUUCGGCGGUUGGGGAUGGACUCGCGGCUUAUCAGCUUGUUGGUGGGGUAGUGGCUUACCAAGGCUUUGACGGGUAGCCGGCCUGAGAGGGUGACCGGCCACAUUGGGACUGAGAUACGGCCCAGACUCCUACGGGAGGCAGCAGUGGGGAAUAUUGCACAAUGGGCGGAAGCCUGAUGCAGCAACGCCGCGUGCGGGAUGACGGCCUUCGGGUUGUAAACCGCUUUCGCCUGUGACGAAGCGUGAGUGACGGUAAUGGGUAAAGAAGCACCGGCUAACUACGUG